AAAUAAAUAUCAUGGAGAUAUAAGUAUUUCAAAGGGGUUAUUAAGGAAAACUACAGCAAAUUUAUACAAAAGGAGGUAUAACACCAAAAGCUUCAGAAAUAAUAUUUAAUAUUAUUUUCCAAUAUGAAAAUGUAAGCGAUCCUAAGGUAAACCUUUAUAAAAAUUACUUCCUGAAGUAAAACAUUUUAAUAAGGAAAGGAAAGGAAAUCAACCGAGACUCCGAGAGUAAUGGUGAGUGAAAUCGGAUUAGCCUAAAUUCUUUAAUAAUUGAAUAACUUAAUCCUUUAGUAUAAAAAUUAAUCUUGUUUCAACAAUAAUUAAUUAAACCUAAAGGGGUAUUAGUUGGCAAAAUUAAAUCUUAACAGAAACUAAAUUAAUGUUCCAUAGAAGGUCACAAACAAAAGUCCUGUAGAUUAUUAAAGAUAAAAUUAAAAAUUAAUAUAAUGUAAAAAUUAUAUAAAAAAUAAAAGUACGAUGAGAGAUAACUUGUCGGAACAUAGGGGAACCAUCCUCUAAGGCUAAGUAUUAUAAAUUUAGCGAUAGUGAAAAAGUACUGUAAAGGAAAAGUUUGAAAAGCGAGUGGUAUACAAAAAGUGAAUUAUUAAAUUAUUAUAAUUUUUAAUAGUUUAAUAAUGAAUCGGUGAAAUAGAUCAUGAAUUAGUAACUCUAUAAGCAGUCGAAAUUCAACUUUAAAUCAUAAAAGGAAAUGAAUGACGGCGUACCUUUUGCAUAAUGGGUCAGCAAGUUAAUAGGAGUAGCAAGGUUAAAAGCCCUAGCGAAAGCGACUGGACUAUAUUAUAAAAUUUUAAAUUUUUAUACAAAAUAGUGAUGGAUAAGUUACUUCUAUUAGACCCGAAGCCAGGUGAUCUUACCAAGACCAGAUUAUAAUGGAUCGAACGGGUGAAUGUUGCAUAAUUCUCCGAUGAGUUUUGGUAAGCGGUGAAAUGCCAAUCUGACCUGGUGAUAGCUGGUUUUCUACCGAAACAUAUUUAAGUAUGACGUCUACACAAAAUUUAUGGAGGUACAGCAAGGCAAUUCCCAACAAUUAUAAUGUCUUUUUUAAUUAAAAACUUUAUAUGCGUUUAGGUUGCGGGGAUCUCGAAAAUCUUACCUUUGGAAGCGAAUCUCGGAAUUACAUAAAUUGAUGGUAGAUAUUCAGACUACUCAUGCUAAGUUGGGUAGUCAAGACGGAAACAGCCGAGAACACAGAUCAAGGUCCCAAAUGAUUGUUAAGUGAAAUUAAGGACGUAGCAUAAUCGUAUACAGCUGUGAAGUGAGCCUGGCAGUCGCUACUUUUAAUGAACGUAUGUAACAACGCAUCAGCAGUUAAGAUCGUAGCGCCGAAAAUUUAACGGGUCUUAAACAAUCAACCGAUAUCGUGUUGGUUAAGAAUAAAUUCAAAUUAUUUAUUGCCUUCGGCUUUUUGUCCUUACACAAAUAAGGGAAAAAUUUGUUCUUAAUCUAGGUAGUAGAACAUUCAGUCAAACUAAUAAUAAAAUAGUGUUUCAUUAUUUUUUAGGUUACUGAAGAGAGAAUGCUGACAUGAGUAACGUAAAAAGAAGUUAUAAUACUUCUCGCCGAAUACGAAAGGGUUGCAAAUUGGAAAGGUUAAUCCGUUUUGUGUGAAUGCGGCCUCUAAGGACCAAAACCAAAGUUUUGGCUGAUGAGUAAAAAAUAGAAAGUCCAUACAUUAAAAAAAUGGACCAGGAAAAUAAUAUUUUUGUCUCCGGUCCUCCUCCUAAAGCAACAGGAGAAGGUAAUUAUUAAAAAGCCGGAGGUAACUACCGUACCCUAAACCGACACAGGUUCGUAGGUAGAGUAUACUAAGGCGUAGAGCUAAAAGUUGUUAAGGAACUCGGCAAGUUCACCUCAUAAGUUAGACGAAAAGAGGUACCAUUUAUAAAUUAAAUUCUUAAGACCUUCUAUCGAACUCAAUCUUUGUUUUUGAUGGAGGUCUAAAUUUAUAGAUAAAUGGUGGCACAGAAUCGGAGGCCCCGACUGUUUACUAAAAACACAACACAGUGCAAUCAUUAAUAUGGUAGUAUACUGUGUGAAAUUUGCCCAAUGCCAUUAAUAUAAAAGCGGUCAUGGGAAACUGUGACUAAUUGAAAAUCUGGUUAAUAGCGGUCUUAACCAUGAGGAUCCUAAGGUAGCAAAAUAAAUUGGCCAUUAAAUGUGGUCCGGUAUCAAUAAUGUAACGAUGGCCUCACUGUCUCUACAACUUGCUCAGUGAAAUUGAAUUACGCGUGCAGAUGCGCGUUACCUCCAGGGGGACGGGAAGACCCUAUGCAGCUUUACUGUAGUUAGUUAUCAUAUGAAUCUAGAACAACUUUAAUUAAUAGUGAAUAGGUAAGUCGAUAGACAUAUAGUGGAAACCUUAUAAUUAAGGUUGGGUUUGUGUUUACCUUAUACACCAUUAUAUAUCCUCAUCGAUAUUUAGUGGAAUAAAGGGAGAGUUGACUAAUUGGCAGUUUGACUGGGGCGGUCGUCUUUAAUAAAGUAACAAAGUACAUCCAAAUAUUUCAUAUUUUUAUAUAAAAUAUCCUAUUUCUAAUUUAUUAUCUUUAAUCAGAUAGUUUAUUUUGUAAUUAGAUAUUAAAACAGAUAACUUAUCCCUUUAACUAGGGACUGUUUGACCCUAUCUCUUUAGGGAAAAAACAGAAAAAGUAAUAAUUAUUUAACUAAAACAAAACUUUGUCUUUACUUCUUAGCCUUAGCUUAGCAACUUUUGGUUGGAGAGCUAGGGUUUUACUGAGAAACAGACUUAGUCAUAAAAAUUAAAACAAAUUUUUUAUAAGGUAUAGCUAGAAAUUGAAUGGAGAUCAAUCAACCGGUGAAGGGUUGCGCAGAGUACAAUGGCGGAAAGCAUACUUAACUGAAAGACUCAAAAGUCGCACAGAUACGUAAGUAGGGCAUAGUGACCCCUCGCUAUAGUAUGGAAUAGACGGGGAUCAAUUGAUAAAAGUUACGCUAGGGAUAACAGGCUGAUAGCCGACGAGAGUACACAUUGUCUCGGCUGUUUGGCACCUCGAUGUCGACUCAUCCUAUCCUCCGGGGGAAGAAGCUUGGAAGGGUUCGGCUGUUCGCCGAUUAAAAGGGUACGUGAGUUGGGUUUAAUACGACGUGAGUCAGUAUGGUCCCUAUCUUCUGGAGGAAAAAGUAGUAAAAAGGGGCAGACCUUCUAGUACGAAAGGACCAAUAGGCUGUGUUUCUCUAGUGUACCAAUUGUUUUUACUGUUUGUAAGGGACCCGAAGUCUCUUAUAGAGAUAGAUGGGAAAAAUCCUUUUUAACUUUCUUGCAAAAAGUUUUUAACUCAAAUCUCUUCUCUAUUCGGGGAAAAGAAAUUGAGAAAAAGGUAACAAAUAGGAACGCAUAGUUGGGUAGCCACAAACAUAAUAGAUAAGUGCUGAAUGUCUCUAAAGCAAGAAUCUAACCCCUAGAUACUAAAAAAUGGAUAUCUACUUAAGACUAAUAGUUUUAAGAUAGAGUAUAAAACCAUUAAUUAAGAAAUAGAACAUUUCUAGAUAGGCUGCAAAUGUACGUACUGUAAA
rnacentral:rRNA from 1 species